UGCUAUAAUUAUGUGGUAAGUAAACUAAACAGAGCAGGUGAGAAGAGUCUUGAUUAUAUAAUGUUUUAUUUCAGUGGAGGAGAGUGAUGAGUCUCCUCGGAGUCGUCUGACAUGUUCAGCAUCUCCUCACCAGAGACAGUGUUCAAAGCAUCUUCCUCUCAGACUGAGUGGAGGGGAGGGCCGGUGCUCUGGGAGGCUGGAGGUGUAUCAUAACGCUGUGUGGGGCUCAGUCUGUGAUGAUCAGUGGGACAUCAGCGAUGCUCAGGUGGUCUGCAGGCAGCUGGGUUGUGGAGCAGCACUGAGGGCUGAUGGGAAUUCAGUCUUUGGUGCUGGUAAAAGGUGUUUGUGUGGAUAAACAAAGUCGACUGCAGAGGGAAUGAGAUUCACCUGUGGGACUGUCCUCUCUCCCUGAAAAACCACACUGACUGCUCCCACAAAGAGCACGCUGGACUCACCUGUGCAGAUUUGUCAGUGUCCACUACUCUUGCAACAACAUCAGCUUCUCCUCCAGUGCGCUCAACAUCAGUCUCUCCUCCACAAACUCCUCCAGCAGUGUCUCUCUCCGUCCCCCCAGUGCUUGUGAUUGUUCUGGGAGUUGUGCUCUUACUGCUCUUAGUGCCACUGCUUAUACUGAUUCAGCAGA